GAACGGAUCAGAAACAUAAUUUCUGAAAAGCAUCUCUACAUCACUACAACCAACGACUGACAUAAUGGCUUCUAUCCAAGUGAAGAUGCUUGUUGUGAUCUGCCUGCUUCAUCUGUGUUUUGAAUGCACUGAGGGGAUUCGUUUCUUCAAAUCAAGGAAUGCUAAAAAAGGCUCCAGGAAGUCCUCACAUAAGGCUGUUGCCAAGCCUGCUGCCCCACCUGCUGCCCCACCUGCUGCUCCGACUCCUGCCCCACCUGCUGCCCCGCCUGCUGCCCAGCCUGAUGCUCCGCCUGCUGAUGCCGCUGCCCCAGCGCCAGGAGAAUAAACCCUUAAUAAAUUCUUCAGCAAGGAGGAUUCAGAGCAUGUUUAAAAUGUUAUCACUGAUUGAAACAUAUAUGUACUCUGCACAAAGUCAUGGAACUACUGUAUAAACUCAAUUGUCCAAAUUGCUAUUUCGAUGCAACUGUUUAAUUUUCAAAGUUUUUGUCAAUAAUCAAACUGCAAUAUACAUAAGUUAAAUUUUAAAAUCAUGUUUUUUCACUGCAAAUCUUGUGAUCUCAAUAAA